AAGGCCCUUCGCAACUGACGGAAUUAAGGUGGGCGACCACCGGGGAGCGAAGGGUUCGUUUGUUUGUCGACCGUCUGGGCAGAGCGU
rnacentral:ncRNA from 2 species